UAUCGAGAAAAUGCGAGAUUUGUUUACGUCUUGUUUUUGGUAAGCAAUUCGACGUGUAGGCUUAGAAAAAAAUACUUGUAAGCUGUCAAAAAAUGAUUUGUCAAUACUUUGAAAUAAUGUGAGACUUACAAAAAUCUCCAACGACUCUCAUUUCGUGGUUUGCAACCGGUGACAAUUGAAUUUUCACAAAAUAUUGAUUAUUCUGAGCGACCUAUUACGUCAUGUAAAAACGGUGUAUUUUCGGUACUGCACCAAGUAUGUUCUGGAAAUGCGUCUAUUUAUGUUAGUUAAGACGAUUCACUGACAGUUAAAUGUUGAUGUUGGAUUUGUACGUAUCAUUUUUGAGUUGUGCAGUCCACCUUGCACUCUUGAUGUUGAAUACCAUUAUCCCUGGGAUUUUGCUCAGCGGGUGCAUUAUCCACAUCAUUUACAACAAGUUGGACCAAUUUAUUUCCAUACCCUAAGGAAGCGCCAUGUGUUUGGUGUAUGUGCAGAAGGACCAGGCAAACAAACUUUUAUUUUAUUGAUGAAAGUCAGUGUACUGGUGAAGGAGUGGAAGGUGUGGUGUCUAGGGCUCAUCAUUAUUUGCAGUUCUAUGGUAUAGGAGAAAAACAUGCACAGAUACAUUUCCAUAAUGCAGCUGGGCAGAACAAAAACAACUAUGUCAUUUGGUAUGCAGUUAUGGAGCACUUUAAUAUGACUACAUGAAACUGUUGCAAUGAGUAUUUUGGUGACAGGGCACGGGAAAUUCAAACCAGAUUAGCAUUUUGAUAUAUGGAAAGUGAAGUGGAGAGAUUCUGAUGCAUAAACUAUGACCCAAAAUGGCUGACACUGUGAGACAGUCAUCAAAAGGGGGUCACAAUGUUCCACAAGUAGUUGAUAAUCCUGAAACACCUGUUGUUUUUACAGCUUGAGGCAAUUUCUUGAACAGUAUUGAACAGUAUAUUAAACCAGUUAAACAGUUGUCUAAAUACCAACUUUCUUUGUCAGUUCAGUUGAACCAGGUGUUGUAUGUUGAAAAGACUAUUUUAAUUAUGAAGAAGUUAAAGUAACUAUAUUGAAGCAAGUACCCGAUAAAAAUGCUAAGCUUGUAGUAAAAGCUUUUUCAGGUCUGAAUGUGGCCUGUCAGUGGUAUUUGUCUUAAACUUUUUGAGAUUGCUUCUUAACACACUGUUUUGAUUUUCUAUCCAUAUUAUUCAGGGUUGUAAAUUUUUAGCUCGACUAUUCGAAGAAUAAGUAGAGCUAUCCUACUCACCACGGCGUCGGCGUCGGUGUCGGUGUCGGUGUCGGCGUCACACAUUUGGUAAGUUUUUCGUACCCGUCCACUUUUUGACAAAGUCUUUUGAGAUAAAGCUUCGAAACUUUCAACACUUGUUUACCAUCACCAUGGCCAGUUAUAGGCAAAAGCACAUAACUCUAUCUAGGAUUUUGGCUGAAUUAUGGCCCCUUUUGACUUAGAAAUCGUGGUUAAGUUUUUCGUAGCAGUUGAUAUUUUGGCAAAGUCUUUUAAGAUAAAGCUUUGAAACUUUCAACACUUGUUUAGCAUCAACAUGUCUAGUUAUAGGCAAGAGCACAUAACUCCAUCAAGGAUUUUGGCUGAAUUAUGGCCCCUUUUGACUUUGAAAUCUUGGUUCAUAUUUUGACAAAGUCUUUUGAGAUAAAGCUUUGAAACUUUCAACACUUGUUUACCAUCACCAUGUCCAGUUAUAGGCAAGAGCACAUAACUGCGUCAAUAAUUUUGGCUGAAUUAUUGCCCUUUUUGACUUAGAAAUCUUAGUUAAGUUUUUCGUACCAGUUCAUAUUUUGGCAAAGUCUUUUGAGAUAAAGCUUUGAAACUUUCAACACUUGUUUACUAUCACCAUGACCAGUUAUAGGCAAAUGUGCAUAACUCCAUCAAGGAUUUUGGCUGAAUUAUGGCCCCUUUCUACUUAGAAAUCUUGGUUAAGUUUUUUGUACCAGUUCAUAUUUUGUGUAAAGUGUUUGACAUGUGUCUUUGAAACUUUUAUCACUUAUUCAGUAUAAUAGUCUAUAUCUGUAGGAAAGAGUACAUAACUCUAUCAUCUAAUUUGGCUGAAUAACAGCCCUUUUUGGACUUGGAAAUCUGUUCUGUUUUCAUACAAGUCUAUGUUUUGUCAAAACUAUUUGACAUAACGCUUUUAAACUUUGAACACUUGUUUAUCAUUAUGAUUUCCAUCUGUAGGCAAGAGUACAUAACUCUGACAACUAUUUUGGCUGAAUUAUGGCCCUUUUUGGACUUUGAAAGUGGUUCACACAUUGCCAUUUACUGCAAGACUUAUCGAAAUCCACAAAUACUGGAACAUUGUCUAAUCUAUCUUUUUUCUUUUGUCUGAAUAUCUAUGUUAAUAUUUUGACCCCGUUAUUCAAUCAAUUCUUCGAAUAGUCGAGCGCGCUGUCAUCAGACAGCUCUUGUUUGUGGAUAUUGUUAUGCUUGAAUUCUUGUUAGAUUAUGAAAAUACUAUGUUGUUGAGGGUUUAUAAAAAGAUGAUUAAACCAUUAUAAAUGUGAUGCGAAGUCACUGUGAAGUUCUGUUUGCAAAUGCAACUUGUUUUUAUUUAUUUUUUUUGUUAAAGAAAAGUUAUUUUGCCUUCAAACUACCUUCUUAUUUUAGAUAGAUAUCUUCAAGUCUGCUUCCUGAAACAUUGUUUAGAUUUUGGAUGAAGAUUAUUUCAUAUUACAAAACAUUUUUAUCAUCAUUCAAGGGUUGACAGCUAUAUAAUUAGCAGAAGAGAUGAAAUAUUCUCUGGUUGCUAGGCAACAGGAAAAACCAUUAAAGUUAUAGACAUUUUUUAAUGAUAGUUCUUUGGUUGAUAGUUCUUUGCUUCAAUGCAUAUUUUACAACCAAAUUUUUAACAGCUCACCUUCAUUUUGAAUUAAUAUCAAUAUGCUAGCAGUAUUUUGUAGGGAAUUGAAAUUGAAGUAAAAUUUUGAAAAGGGACUUUCCUGUCAGAUGUCUGUAUAUCUUCAAAAGUUUUCAAUUCAAUGACUUGAAUUUUUCAAGACUGUCUGUUUAUAAGUUUUGUUUACAUUUUCAUUUGAUCUUUAAAUGAAUGCAAAUGUUUAAGUCAACUUAUAAGUCUUAAAACCUAAAAAAUCAUGGAAAUUGUGAAAAAUUCCAUUGUUGCUAAGCAACAGAAAUAUUGAGGUCGCUGUUUUGUAACUAUAUUUGUGCUUUAUUAUCAUAGUUUUAUUUCAUAUAGCCAUAUUUGCAAAGAAAACACACUGUUAAGGGCUUGUAAAACACUGAAGAUUAAUAUUACUAGGUGCAGGAAAUUUUGUAAAAAGAUCCUGUUUGCAGAUGAAAUAUUUUGCACAUUGUCUAUGUAUUAAAAUAUUUUUUUCUUCAAAACCACUUUAUAUAUUGCCCAGAAAAUUUCAUGACUGUUUAGGUAGAGAAUGUUAUUACCCAUUUUGAAAUAAAAAUUCAUUUGUGACAUAAUUACACUUAAAUUAUUGUCAUGUAUAGCUUAAAAAGUAAGAAAAAUGGAAUAUUUUCUGGUUGCUAGGCAACCGAAAUGAAAACUUUUGUCUACUGCAAUCCGUUUUUUGUCUCAAAAUGUUGUUUUCACAUUAAAUAAAGAAACUGAACACAGCAAAUUGCUUAUGUAUUUUAUUUUCUAUUUACAAAACUGUAUUUCAUAUGCUUACCUGAAGGCAAGAAAAAUGCCUCCAAAUCAGUGCAGAUUGGAACAUAUCUAAAAUGGUUGUCAACAUAAAAUUCAAUGUAACUUCACCAUUUUUUGAGAUUUGACACUCAAAUUUUCAGGAAUUUCUUAUGAGAUGUCAUAAAAUUCAGAAAUAAAGAAAAGUCAAAAAACAUUUUUUUGGUCCAUAAGCCCCAUUUUUACAUUCCAUGACACAUAUCAACAAGACAGUAAAAUCCUAUAUAGCCUUGUACUCACAUUACAGUCACUACAGCAAAAACAUCAAUCCAACAUCGAUAAUUGCCGACUGUGGUAUGUGAUCCCAUUGGAAAUCAGGUAUUUACCCUUUCAAAACGUAAUUUUCAAAAUGAUAUAAUUGUCGGAGCUCAGUUUGUUUUGAAGUUGUCAAGACUUUGAUCGGUUCACAACAUCUUUUUUAUCUAUAUUAAAUAUGUUUUGAAAUGUUUUAGAAAUAAAAUGACCGUA